UACGAAGGGUGCAAGCGUUGUUCGGAUUUAUUGGGCGUAAAGCGCGCGCAGGCGGAUUGUUAAGCAAGAUGUGAAAUCUCGGGGCUCAACCUCGAAAGUGCGUCUUGAACUGGCGAUCUAGAAUAACGUAGAGGGUAGGGGAAUUUCUCAUGUAGGGGUAAAAUCCGUAGAGAUGAGAAGGAACACCGGAGGCGAAAGCGCCUACCUGGCCGUUUAUUGACGCUGAGGCGCGAAAGCGUGGGGAGCAAACAGG
rnacentral:rRNA from 1 species